AUUGAACGCUGGCGGCAGGCCUAACACAUGCAAGUCGAGCGGAUGAAGAGAGCUUGCUCUCUGAUUUAGCGGCGGACGGGUGAGUAAUGCCUAGGAAUCUGCCUGGUAGUGGGGGAUAACGUUCCGAAAGGAACGCUAAUACCGCAUACGUCCUACGGGAGAAAGCAGGGGACCUUCGGGCCUUGCGCUAUCAGAUGAGCCUAGGUUGGAUUAGCUAGUUGGUGAGGUAAUGGCUCACCAAGGCGACGAUCCGUAACUGGUCUGAGAGGAUGAUCAGUCACACUGGAACAGAGACACGGUCCAGACUCCUACGGGAGGCAGCAGUGGGGAAUAUUGGACAAUGGGCGAAAGCCUGAUCCAGCCAUGCCGCGUGUGUGAAGAAGGUCUUCGGAUUGUAAAGCACUUUAAGUUGGGAGGAAGGGCAUUAACCUAAUACGUUAGUGUUUUGACGUUACCAACAGAAUAAGCACCGGCUAACUUCGUGCCAGCCGCCGCGGUAAUAC
rnacentral:rRNA from 1 species